ACCAACUCUUGGUAAACGUAAAUUUUAGAGCCCUAUGCAAUAUUGGUAGCUACAAGAGCGAAAUUGGAAUGAGCGAGUUUCACAAAGUCAAACUGCAGCUUGUUCUGCACUUUUAGAGGUGACUUGAGCGCAGUUUGAGAAUAUGUGCGACCUCACCAAGGAAGGGUUCUACAUGGGUGGCAUUCUGAGUUCACAGAUCACAAAGUCAUGCUCCAGGAAAGAGCAAUAACAACAGCAUCCUUCCCUGGAUGACAUUUUACACUCCUCGGGCCCAGUUCUGUUCUGGUAACACUGCAGUGGCGGAACCUGCUAUGGAGAUGGCCAUUUAAAAGAAGGAAAAAAAGCUGCGAGAGCAGCUCUGAUGUGAUUUUUGCAGGCGGGUUAGGCAGAUGUUCUGUGGGAAAGGGCAUGUAACUAUUGGACUACCGUAAUUUCCCGCGUAUUAGCCGCGGCUUAUGCGCGUUUUUUUGUCUUUCUAACGGGCGCUCUGCGGCUUAUCCACCGGUGCAGCUUAUCUGAUCACCAUUUUUCCUUGUUAAUGUUGACUUAUUGCAGAGCUGAUUUUAAUUGAUCUCAUCAACACAGUACCUGUGCUGUGUCAGCUGUAUCUGGCCCCUUUCUUGCCUCUCGAAGCUGCGUUAUCUCAGCAGCAAUCCGUUCUUACACAUCUUGAAUGCGGUUUUUUCAUGCACUGGUUUUAACGAAAGAACCGACAGUGUCUCUGGGACAGCACCGCCCUGCCGAUGCACGAACAGUACAUAACAGGGGCGCGUCCACAUUAGAGUAGAUUGACCUUCCUGUGUCUUCUGGAAGACCACUGACCCAGCGAUCCAUGAAAAACACGCAACAAGGGCACAAUCCGAUCUGGGUAGACCACUAGAACUGACUGAACCCCUUCUUGUACAGCAUGCCAACUCCGAAGUAUGGACCACAGGGUUUAUGGCCUUCUCUAUGGUCUUCCUUGUCGCACAAAUUGUCGCAUUGUAUUUUCCGCGGCUUAUCUGCCAGAAAAUUUUCAAAACGUUCCUAAAAACUGGUCCUGCGGUUUAUACGCGUGAAAUUACGGUAAAUACCUAAAAUUCACUAUAAUUAACUUUUGAUGAUAGUCUCCAAUUCUGCUGUGUCGCAUUUUCACGAAAACAUAUACCGUAAACAUAUUUUUAUUCGCAAUGUAUUAAUUUUGGCGAAUCGCUCAUUCAGUUGUUUGCAAAGUUAUUCGCUCGUAUUUAAUUUCGCGAUUCCAGUGCGGUUUCCUUUCGCAGGAUUAAUGUAAGUCUGUGUCAGGCGUCCGGUCAGCACGUGUUUUUGAAGGUUUUUCCUGUCGAUCUGAAAAGUGCUUGGUCUGUAACCCCAACAUAGGUUUUCUGACCAGUGAGAAAGGUGCACCAGGAAGACCAAUGACGUGACCAGAUAAUAAUGCAAUCAUUAUCUCGCUUAUUCGGGAGUUGUCCCUUUUUGUCCAGGUAACAAAUUUCUGGAUAAGUGAAUCUUGUGGUAACGGAAAGAUUUAGGAGACCUUUUAUUGCUGCAGCAGAAAGAAAACAAGGAAAGAUCACCCGGGUACCGUUACCUCAAAAAGUCAAGCAAAUAGGGCUUCUCGAAAUUAGUAGGCAUGAUUGACACGUGUGACAGAAGUUUGCUCACCGCGGGUUGCAUCUGGAUAGGGCUUCAACACGACAUUUACAUGUGAAUUUAUUUUGCUUCUCGCCUACAAUCUGAGAUUGACCAGAGAGGAAAAGGGGAGGCGCUUUUGAGAUGUGACCUUUUUCCGGACUUAGCACGUGCCAAGGACACAGUUACAGAUAAGCGUUCUGGAAUUUUGGAUAACCAAUUCUGGGUGUCCGAGGCAAAAGCAAAUGUUCUCAUUAAUAUAAACAAGUUUUCCGGAUAAGCGAGACAUGACUGUGCUGUCAAACUCCUUAAAAUAUCAUAUCACGCAGCUGUCGUCUAUUACUUAAGGACAUCAUGUUCAGCUUAGAUAGGAUAUAAUAAUAGUUGAGGUACCACGCCCGACUCACAAACCUGUCAUAAACAAUUCUGACAAGUCUCUUUUGUAUAGUUAAUUUUAGUCUUGGACACUUUCAGACACAAUGAGUUAACUUUACACCAGUUCUUAAUUUCUGCUGCAUCCUCUUGCAGCAAUAAACAACGCUCCAUGGUUGAGACAGAAAGAAAGAUUUUUAUGUCGUCCGCAAAUAAGGGUACACAAGACCACCUAACAACAUUUACGAGGUCAUUAAUAAACACUAAAGGGCAACCUCCAUGGAGCGAAUGUACAGCGAAAUAGCUGCGAACUUCGCUCAGCGUCGGAAGCCCUGCACGAGGCCUCAAAAAUGUGAGCGUCCGCCGCCGUUCUCCCCAUGCCAGAUAUUUUUGCCCAGCGUCCGCGAUUCCGGAAGCGUCAACUGCAGAUGAACCAAUCAAAGUGCUCUUCCGCUACGAAUCUACGCCAGAUUGUCUGCAUGUGGUCGCCUGCUCUCGUGAAUCAUCGUCAUCGUCCUCUUGCAACUGGAUGCUGUUGUCUGCUCGCUCUUUCGUCAACUGCAUCGUUAGAACGUGAGGCAUUCUCUGCCAAGAAACGUGUUUUCCUUUUGCAGUAGUGAAUAUGCCUUUUGGUACGUUACUGGGCGCAUCUUUUCAGACAGUUGUUGGAUUUAGUUGCAAAAUUUGUGACAUUAAAUGCACUUUUUCGAGCAACUGAUUUCACUAAGCUUUCACCUUAUACCCUGGCAACAGUGACACCACAGCACGACUUCCCGAUGCUGUCCGCAGGUUUUUCGCCCCAUGGAGCUGGUGCUGGUGAACAAUUGGCGGCGGAACUCGCGAUGCAGUCUGCCGCGCGAACUUCGUUGCCAAAAAUUCGCUUCAUGGAAGUUGCCCUUAAUACAUAAAUAUGUUACAAAUGAA